ensembl:snRNA U2 U2 spliceosomal RNA
AUCACUUCUCGGCCUUUUACCUAAGAUCAAGUGUAUUAUCUGUUCUUAUCAGUUUAACAUUUGGUAAAUUCUAUAUCUGAGGACAGUAUGUUAGAUGGGUUUUUGGAGCAGGGAGGUGGAAUAGGAGCUUGUUCUGUCCACUUCACGUAUCGACAGGAACGGUUCACUUCCUUGAGGGAUACAAUGUCU